CGACCGGCGCACGGGUGAGUAACGCGUAUGCAACUUACCUAUCAGAGGGGGAUAGCCCGGCGAAAGUCGGAUUAAUACCCCAUGAAACAGGGGUCCCGCAUGGGAAUAUUUGUUAAAGAUUCAUCGCUGAUAGAUAGGCAUGCGUUCCAUUAGGCAGUUGGCGGGGUAACGGCCCACCAAACCGACGAUGGAUAGGGGUUCUGAGAGGAAGGUCCCCCACAUUGAUACUGAGACACGGACCAA
rnacentral:rRNA from 1 species